rnacentral:lncRNA from 13 species
UUGAACUAAUUUACACUCCCACCAACAGUGUAAAAGUGUUCCUUUGUCUCCACAUCCUCUCCAGCAUCUGUUGUCUCCAGAUUUUUUAAUGAUCGCCAUUCUAACUGGCGUGAGAUGGUAUCUCAAUGUGGUUUUGAUUUGCAUCUCUCUGAUGACCAGUGACGAUGAGCAUUUUUUCAUAUGAUUGUUGGCCUCAUAUGCUGUAGCUUUAAAAAAUUAUCGCCGCCCCCGCACCCCCACCCCGCGUGUUUCCUCCCUUAUUUACUCAUCCCUAAAGGAAGUGACGUCUGUAAAGCGCCAGUGCUUGUUCAGAGCGAGGACAAGACGCAGACGCAUGCGGAGCAAUUAAAUAACUUGACCAGAGCAAGCCAUUUGUCAGUGUCAGAAGCAGUGGAGACUGCAGUGCUUCUCUAGGUAAGUCCCCGGGAAUGAAACUGCUAGGUGCGGGAGUUAGGUGUGUACUCAACUUUACGGGAUAAUGCCACAUUGCUUUUCAAAGAGGCUUUAUUAAUUUACACUCCCAGCAGCACUCGGUGAGAGCUUCUCGUGCCAACUGAGGGAGGAGAAAACGGUGUCUUUGUUGUUUGCAUUUGGCUUUCCUCGAUUUAUUAUGAGCUUGAGUAUCUCUUGUAAGGUCUUUGGCUGCUCACGUUUUCUUAUUCUGUUGCUUGACUGUUCGUAUUCGUUGCCCUUUCUCUUACCUUUUCCCUUGUUGAUUUUGGUGUUUAUCACACAUUCUGGUUACUAAGCCUCUGCGUUCUGCUUUUUUUGCAUAUCUAUCCUCUCAGUUAUCAAGAAGAACCGAUGGACUGAGCUAUAGCUCCAAUAAUAUAUGAGACACUGUUUUAACUUCAAAUUUACUUUUUAAUAAGAAGAUAUGACUGUAAGUCAUAUUCUAUUUCUGAGGAAAUCUGUACCAUCUUUCUGUGCUGUCUGAGCAAAUUAGAAUGACGUCAGUGUCAAACAUCAGAAGAGGUUAAUGACUCAUCAGGGUGAGCGUGACCAAACUCUGAAAAUCAUAGCGUGUAUCUUCAGGUGAACAGCUUUCUACAGCACUCACGGUUUCCAUUAACAAGAUUUUUUUGUUUUUGGUUUUGGUCACAGGAUUAUAAACUAUUUGUCAUGGGAACAAAUAGGUUGGUAUUACAGAAAAUCUUUUAGCCUGUUUUAGUAAAGAGACAUAGAAACUUUCCUCCGGCGAAAUAAUUCUUGCAUGUAUUUGAAACAACCUUCUCUUCUAGCUUCUAAACAGAGGGCAAUUGUUACUCCAUUGUUUUGUAUUCUCAAGGUUUCUGUUACUGAUGACCAGGCUUCUGCUUUCAAUUUAAUAUUUUUAGCUUUUAAUUUUUUUUUUUUAUGAGAUGGCGUUUUGCUCUUGUUACCCAGGCUGGAGUGCAAUGACGCGAUCUCAGCU